rnacentral:lncRNA from 1 species
CUGUGUAUAUUUGUCAGCAAGUCCACUGUCAUCUAUUUCCUUGUUUAAUAGAUAAUGUUACAUAUUUUUUUGCAAAACUGAGAACAUUAAGUAGAUGACAUGAAAGAUGAAACAUAGCUCUAUGAGAGUUGUUGGCCACUACAUGUACUCCCUUUUUGGUAGUAUUUUCUUUUACCUUCAGAGCUGAAAAGUGAUGUUGUGCUAGUUGUAAGCUGACACAGAAUCAACUUCAGUUUGCUAAAGAAAAUUCUCCUUUUCUUUUUGUUUAAUGCCGAUCUUUAUAAAGCACACGUGAUGAUGUUUAAUCAGUUUGACUUUGACCAUACUUUCAUGUGAUCCCUCUAGGUGUGCUUUUCUUUUCCUCCUUAUCAUUUUAUUAGUAGUUUAGGUUGUAGAUUUUUCCUGUUUUUGACAGUACCUUGGGUGGCUGCCAAAUUUGCACCAUUUUGUAGCAUUUUUGAACCCAUGCUCGUGAAUUUUUUUUAAGUUGGUUUGGUUAUGCACAUUUAGUGUACUGUAAUGCAAACCACAUGUAUGCAUAUUAGUCUGAUAUGACUCAUGCUUGUUGUCCAAGGAGUACUGAGUUUAUUGCAUAUACAGUUUCUUUAUAACAUGUGGCUUUUUGUGUGGUCAUGAACAAAUGUGUGUCUACUUCUUGGAGUCAUCCAUGUGGUUCACUUGUCUCUGUUAUGUUGUUUGUAAUUAAGAUUUGCAAGGGCAUGUGCUAUUUUGCCUCAUGCAUCUCUCUCGCGUCCCUCUCGUCGUCGGCUUUGUGCCUCACGAUUCCCGAUUAGAGAAGAUUGGGAGAAUGUCAUUAUGUCAGUUCAAUUGGAGAAUAGAAUGGUGGUGAUUACUGAUUAGGACAGAAUGUCAUUAUCUCAGUACAAUUAGAGAACAGGUGGAUUGUGCAUGAACCGAUUAGUUGUGGAGUUUUAGGAAACAAAAGAGAUGUCUUUUUGUGCCUGCUUGUGAGUUUUUGUGGUAUGAAAAACAUGUACGAUGAACUUCUUUACUGAAAUAAUAGUUAUAUGUUUCUUUUCUACAUCUAGAAAUGCUCUUACUAUGCACUAGAAGGCGCAUUGAGAAGGCGCAGAUCUACUCGAUGCACGCUUCUGAUGGAUCGGUGCCUUCACCUCUUAUAGUUUGUUCACCACAUGAUAUGCCAAACACAAUUUUUGAUGGAAUCUGGAUGGUGUUGCACCUCGGCUUAGCGAUGAACAAGGCGGUGCGCUCAUGUUGUCUCCCUGGUAUGGCCCCUCUCACUUCUGCAGCAUUUAUCUCAACUUAUAAAUAUCCCGCGUUCUUAAGCUUUUGGCCAUACUCAAUUCUUUUACCUAUUUUCCAUGGAAACAUCCGAUCGGCAUAUCAGGGCUUGUUAAUCUUGCAAUGAGGCGCAGACCAAUGGGCACUACAGCAGUAUAAUGGGAGACAGAGGUCCUGAUAGAGUAUAAGUAGUUCAUUAAUUGAAUAUAUUCAGGGGUGAUAUGCCUUGCAUUAUGUUUGGCGCAUGCAUGUGUGGAACACUGUAUGUCCAGUUGCUGAUGAUAAAAAACCAAGGUAAUUGUAACUAAGCUAGAUGAACUUACUGGCAAAGUAGAUCAUCUGAAAGGAUGGCAACCACACAACCUGAUUUCUGUGCUAAGCAAGCUUUAUCAAACCCUUGAAUGCAAUGUAUGAGAUCUGUCCGGCAUAUAAACAAUGCACUUGCUGCAAUAAAAUAAAUCUCUUAAAUAUUCUUAAAGGAUGUAAGAAGAAGAACCUAAAAUAUCAGUCUUUGUGUUGUAUCCAAGUCAUUGGAUUGGAAAUGGUUAGAAAACUAUCAGAUGAUUUUAAUUGCACACUGUCCAAUAGACGUAACAAGACUAGGUACUUAGGUUGGUCAAUAUAACUCAUUUUGUCAUUCUAUCGACUAUAACUAUUAAUUAUGAUUCAUUUCAAUCAUGUUUAUACACAGCAAGCUUGUGCUGAUAAAAGUCCUAUGUCAGCUGAUGGAGCACUUGCAGGUUCAAGUUUGUUUAAGAUCAUCGUGGAGUCACAUUUGAAGGGUACAAACCUUUUCAUUUGAAGUUGCCCUGCCCUCGAAGACAUUGAUAAUUAUGCUUAUAGAGUGUUUCAUCUGUUGUUCUCAUGUUGUGCUACAUACUGACUGCGCUUCUUUUCUUUUACAUAGUUGCUGUUGAUUCUGCAUUUGAGGAUAAUGAUGAUGCUGAAUACUUUCGUGUUUCUGUUUCAAGUAUGUUGAAAUUUUUAAUAAAUAUUUCCUAUUCAGAGCACCCUCCACUUCGUGGCUCCUUCAUUUAUACUAAUGAAGUACUUCUUGGUGCACAAUGUGAUGAGCAAUUGGCCUUGUAUGCUCUGAUUGCACGCGUAGCUGCUGACACCACCAUACCCUUGAGCAAUUGUUUUGUGAGUGAUUUGCAUGGCUAAGUCAGGUCUCCUUCUUAGCUUCAUCUUGUGACUUAUCUUGGUUCAAAAUUACCUAUGUGUCCCUGCUAUAAUAGCCUUCUUUCCAUGAUAAUGAUCCCACUCAUACAUUGGAGAAGAUGUAUUGGCUGUUUUCUUAGCUGAAAACAAUGAGAGAAUCUAUCACUAUGGCAUUUCAAUUAAAUAAAUUAAUGUCUGUACAUCAAGAUUACCAGCCAUGUCCUAAUUUAUUCAGGCGAAGGAGAAACACUGCUUGUAGAUAAUUCAAAGCUUCCUUCUUUGUACUUAUGUUUUCAUUUUUUUAUAAACUAUUUGCAGUUCCAUCUACUUCUCAUAGUUUCUGCAAUUUUCAAAUUUGAAUUGUGUUAUAGGCUUUAGUUCUUGUAACAUAUGGUACUCGAUUGAUCAUCGUGUAUAUUGUGUAAACAUAAAAUGAUGCACUGAAUGCACUAUGCUCUUUCCAAUUGUUAAUUGUGUUUUUCUCUAUCCGCUAAGAUAAAAAUCACAACUCUCAAAGUUUUAACAAUUAGUUAUUUUUGUCACAGAUUUCUGAGGCUUUACAUUAUGGAUUCACCAAUGCAGUUGAAGUAGCUCAACAUCCUGUAGUUACAUUUUUUCAUGGUAGUAAUGUUUGCUUAAUGGUGGCUUAAUAGAGCUAGAUGUUUGCUAGAAUACAUUAAACGCCUCAUUUUAUACCUGGUAAUGUAUGUGUCAUCGCAUGUUCAUACAAAUGUAGUGUGCUAAUGAGUUCACAUGUCAUGGAGCUGACAAAAACGACUGCCAGAUGAGUGUGUCCUACCCUGGCCUGGCCAGUACAUAGUAGAAG